rnacentral:rRNA from 1 species
GAUCAUGGCUCAGGAUGAACGCUGGCGGCGUGCUUAACACAUGCAAGUCGAACGAAGAUGCCGGAGUGCUUGCACUUUGGCAGACUGAGUGGCGGACGGGUGAGUAACGCGUGGGUAACCUGCCUUAUACAGGGGGAUAACAGUUGGAAACGACUGCUAAUACCGCAUAAGCGCACGGUAUCGCAUGAUACAGUGUGAAAAACUCCGGUGGUAUAAGAUGGACCCGCGU